AGGAAAAAGAUAUUUUAACACAUUUUUUUACACUAUUUUGACACUACACACGUGUCAAAAUGUGGUUGGACAAUUUCAAAUUAAAAAAAAAACUUUGAUUUUCCUCUUCCAAAUAUGUCAUUGUCUCAGUUUUUUUUAAUUUGAAAUCGUCCAAUUACAUUUUGACACGUGUACAAUGUCAAAAUGGUGUCAAAAUAUCAUUUUCCAUAAAAUAAGAUUGAAAUGAAAUAAAUGAGCAAAUAAAUAAAAGAACGAAGCAAAAGAAUCAGGCAGCAGAGAAAAAAAAACGACGCCGCAACAAUAAAAAGAAAGGGAAAAAAAGGGGUGAGCCCAUCUUCAUCCUCUCGAAAUCAGAUAACCUAAAGGAGCAUUGCCCCUUUUACGCAUGUGUGCCACUGCUACCACAAAGCCUGUCGCCACAGAGCAUUUCCUUUCGACCGAAGCGCAUCGCUGGCGGCGCCGCUCCUUGCCUUAGUCAUCGCCGGUAACACCACCGGGUUCAUCUUUUCUCGUUCCUCUUCUUGCACGAGAGGGAAACACUCUCAUACCCCGAGACUCAUUAUCACAGCUACCAGGAGGUUGGCCGCUACCGGUGUUGGAGAAACUGCCGGCGACCGUCACUGCUGUCGCUGGCGGUCGGUUCUCCUAUUAUUCUAUCCUCUGUUUCCGAUCGGAUUGGCAUCUCGCCUGACGGGUACACGGGUGGUUUCGUGACCGAAGAUAUGGAAAAAGAUUGGUGUUUGCGAUUUGAUCCUAGCGGAUUUGUUUGAUGCAGGUGAAAAACUAUGGUGAGAUUAAAUGAGGUGGGCAAGAGUGAUAUCUGCUGUUAAGGAGAAGGGAAUUUAUUUUAAGCGUAUGUUUCUGUUCUCGAUGAUUAUCGGUGUUUCAUGGGUGUCUCCGCUCUUUGCUCUUGUGAUGAGGGUAUGUGGUGGGGGUAUAUGGCGAGGCCAUGUUUGUGAUGUUGGGGAUGGUUGCAACGCGAUGGCAGCGAGGGAUUCAGACAAUGAAGGGAUUCGGACAAUGAAGACAAUAUAUAGCACGAGCAGCGAAGGAAAGUAGCAUAAAAUCCAUAUAUGCAGAUAGUGCCACUCAGUAAACUAGAGUUAGAUGACUUACCUCUAAAAGGAUGACUUUGUUUCUACGUUGUAUCUGUGCAAAUGUUCCUCCUAUAGCCAACACUUUUUCUUCCUCGCUCCUCUGAACGUGACUGUGUUAUCCUUUUCCUGUUGUAGAUGUCCCCUUUCGUUGGUGAAUAAUAUAUCUUCACCCGUUCCCUCAGGUGCGGUAAAGGAAAUCAGAUCCCCUCAAUACCCAGUCUCGCCGGAUUUUAGGAAACUAAUUUCCCUCCCAAGAAAAAUAUGUUCCUCCGUUUCCUUUCUGGAUGAUCAAGGCGCAUCUCCGAGGAUUUCUUCCUUGUUUACUUCCUUUUUUAUGUUUGAAUCGAAUCGAUUAACGAAAAAAAUUUAAAUAUCUCUUUCUCUUUUGUAAAUGAUUACAAUUAAUUGGUAUCACAUUGCAGCUAAUUCGUAUCUAAUUCGGGUGUGGACUGUGAUAUUUGCAGAAAGAGAGUUGAUCUUACGCUUCACUUGUUUUUUAUUUUUUUUAAAGAGAUUAAAUAAAAUACAAUAAAAAUAAACUAACAUAAAAGAAAAUAAAAAUCAGAAUAACGUAAAAUAAAAACAUAAUCAAAAUAAAGUAAUGUACAAGGAAAAUGAAAUAAAAGGAGAUAUAAAAUAAAAUAAAGUAUAAUUAACAUAAUAUGAAAAUAAAAUAAAAUAAACUAAUGUAAUGAUAAUGAAAUAUAAAAAACAAGUAAAAUUAAAAUAAAA
rnacentral:lncRNA from 1 species